AGUGAGACCCCGUCUAAAAAAAAGGUCCCUGCUUACCCCACUGCCUUGGGAAACCCCCUCUGCUCCCCACACAGUCUCCGCAUAUGCCUGAGUCUGUGUUUGGUCUUCCUCGUCUCUCCACAGCAGGUCUGCCCCCUGGGUUGUUGGCCGCGGUCGGAUGCUCAGCUGCUUGAAAAUGCUGUCUCCUGCCUGGGUGCGUCUGGCUCCCCUCUGCGCGUCCUGUUUCAUGUUGUUUUUUAGGGUUUGUGCAUUUCUCUGGGUACUUUGGUGCACAAAUGCUUCUUUGAAAUUAAUACGUGGCAGUAAUGCUCCCAGCCCUUGCCCUGCCACAGGCCCUCCAAUGCCCUCAGCCAGGCAUGUUUUGAAAGAAGAGAUGUUACCAAACCGUCCUUCCCAGUGGUGCUGCCAGGCCACUGGGGCAUAGAUCAGUGUGGGCACCUGUUCCUCCAUGGCCUCUGUGACCUGUCGUGUCAUUGGACUUGCUGGUCAGCCUCCUGAGUGACAGGAUGGUGACAGCUGCCACUUAGGGGACCUCAUUGAGCUUCCUGAAGACCCCACGAGGAGGGUGUUAACAUGGGGAGCCCCCUUUACAGAUGAGGAAACUGAGGCCUCAGAGGUGGGGGCCUCACCCUCCUCUGGGCCUCAUGGUGGGUGGUGGGGGUUCACCUUCCUUUAUUUGCAUGUGGAUAUCCAGUUGUCCCAGCACUGUUUGUUGAAACACUUUUUCUUUCUGCAUUCAGUGGUCUUGGGACCAGGCCUUGG
rnacentral:lncRNA from 1 species